rnacentral:rRNA from 1 species
AUGUUCAGACGUAGGCUUACCCCUGAGUUGUCCAAACAAUGGGAAGAUAUGCGUGCUGUAGUCAAUAAAAUCCCCCUUACUAAGAGGGAUGAUCGUAUUUUCUGGGGACUCAACCAGAAUGGCAAGUUCACCACUAAGUCAGUAUAUAAAAUGCUGGAGAAACCCUUGAGUGGGUGCCAUUAUAGAUGGAUUUGGAAAGCCAAGAUCCCUCUUAAAAUCAAGAUAUUUCUGUGGCAAAUGUCGCAAGACGCAGUCCUUACUAGACAAGUGAUGAGCAAAAGAAAAUGGACAGGGAAUCCCUGUUGCUCUUUCUGCAAACAGGUGGAAACGGUGCAACACUUGUUCUUUACUUGUCCCAUUGCCCCAAUUGUUUGGCGAUCCAUCGGAGUAGCUCUUGGCACUGAUAGUUGCCCGUCGGACUACUGGCAAUAUUUCGUGUGGUGCCACAGAUUCCUUCCUGGGAAGCAAAAGUUUAUACGGUGGGCUUAG